rnacentral:lncRNA from 1 species
GAAGUGAUGAAUGUUUUGCUUUCCUGGCUGCCUGAGUACCCAGAGAAAGUUAAUACAAAUGGAAAUUCAGCCAUAUAUGUAAGCAAUCUGUCGCAGCAAAGAGAUUUCCUGAGUUUUCUGGCUAAGAAGAGUUUUGAAUAUCCUGGCAGCAAAACGCAAUAGAGAAGAUCAGCUGCAUCUGGCCCAUCUAAGGAUAAAAAACAAGUGUGCAAAGACAUAGGCGAGUGCAUCUGCUUUCCAACAGCAUAAAUGUUGGGACUGAAGUGUGUGAUAGAAGCAAUUAGUUUUCUGUCUCAAAGGAGUGUUGCUAGUCCUGUAAUCUGCAGAAUUAUGCC